GCGGGAAUAGCUCAGUUGGUUAGAGCACGACCUUGACCAAGGUCGGGGUCGCGAGUUCGAGUCUCGUUUCCCGCUCCA
rnacentral:tRNA from 1 species